rnacentral:rRNA from 1 species
CGAGUCUUUGACUCGGGGCGGAUAGCUGAGUACACGUGACUAACCUGCCCUAUGGAUGGAGAUAACCUCGCUAACGUGGGGCUAAUAUCCAAUAGCAGAUGAUUGCUGGAAAGCGUCGUCUGUGAAAUGUUCCGACGCCAUAGGAUGGAGUCGCGGCUGAUUAGGUCGUUGGUGAGGUAACGGCUCACCAAGCCAGUAAUCAGUAACAGCCGUGAGAGCGGGAGCUGUCAGUUGGCUUCUGAGACAAGAAGCCAGACCCUACGGGGUGCAGCAGGCACGAAACCUUCACAAUGCACGAGAGUGCGAUGGGGGGACUCCGAGUGUAAUCUUCCCACAAGGAAGGUUACUUUUCUGCACUGUAAGGAGGUGCCGGAACAAGGGGUGGGCAACACUGCUGCCAGCCGCCGCGGUAAUAGCAGGACCCCAAGUGGUAGUCGUUAUUAUUGGGCUUAAAGUGUUCGUAGCCUGCCAUGCAAGUCCGCUGUGAAAUCCACGCGCUCAACGUGUAGGCGUGCAGCGGAUACUGUAUGGCUAGGGACCGGACGGCGUUGAGGCUAUUCCCGGGGUAGGAGUGAAAUCCUAAAAUCCUGGGAGGAGCACCUGUGGCGAAAGCGCUCAACGAGUACGGAUCCGACGGUGAGGAACGAAAGCCAGGGGAGCAAAGCGGAUUAGAUACCCGCGUAGUCCUGGCCGUUAACAAUGUCCGUUUGAUGUCGGCUAACCUCCGAGGUUAGCCGGUGCCGAAGUGAA